UGGAAAAUGCUUUGGGUAGGAGGUGUGUUAUGACUGGAAACCAGAGUAUUACAGUGCUUGUCUGCGACUUGGACAUUCAUGUAAGGAGAUUGCAAAUAAGAAUCCACUUAAACUACUACCAAAGCAAACAAAACAGAUACUACCAAGGCCUAAACAAUAGUGGAAGCCAAGAGGCAUGAUACAACCUGAGGAGAAGCAAGAUCAACUUCCAAAUACAGAACAAAUGAUUACACUUGGAAAGAUGAAUGAGAAUGCAACAAGUUGUGAACAGGCAAAUGAAAAAGGAUGGACAAUAGUUAAAAGUAAAUCUGCUACAAAGAACAUAACACAUGAUGCUUCUUGUAGUAAUUUAAAUACUGCACAUGGAUUUGAUCCACUAGGUGGAGAAAAAGCAACUCAGCGAAGUAGUAGACCUCAAAGUGUAAUAGAAGCGAGACAGAGUAGUUUGGGUAGAAAGGCUGGCGAUCCACAAUCCCUGCAUAUCCCUACAUGAAACUAAUCACUUGGAAUGUUAGGGGUUUGAAUAAGCUGUAUAAGCAGAAGGAGAUGAAUGAGUUUUUGACGGUGAAUAAAGUCAGUAUAAUAGCUAUAAUUGAACAUAGAGUUACAGAACAAGCAUCAAAGAAGAUUGUUGAUAGAAUAGCACCUUUAUGGAAAUGGAGCAACAACUACAACACCGGGAAACGAGGCAGGAUAUGGAUCUUAUGGAACCCUAACAUAGUUAGCUUCCAGUUAGAAACAGUACAUACUCAAUAUAUAUAUAUGGAAGGGUCUGCUGGCUAGAUAAAUGAAUAUACUUCAGCUUCACUACAACAUAUGGACUUCAUAAUGUUGGUGAUAGAAGGACUUUAUGGAAUAGGCUUAACAAAAUCAGUGGAUUGCAGCAGGAGCCUUGGCUAGUAAUAGGUGACUUCAAUGCAGUAUUAUCAGUAGAUGAUAGAAUAAAUGGCAACCCAAUACAUGAAUCAGAAGUGGUAGACUUUAGAGAAUUUAUGAGAAAUUGCAAUAUGACUAAAUUGAGAAGUGUGGGAAGGGAGUUUACAUAGACAAAUAACAACAUCUACAACAAGAUAGAUAGGGUGUGGUAAAUGUAGAAUGGAUGAAUAAUUUUCCACAAGUGGACGUUGUAGUUUGGAGCCCCUUUUCUCUGACCAUAGCCCUUUGAGUGUCGAAAAUGGUGGAUAAAUCAAAAAGAGGGGCAAAACCUUUCAGAUUCUUCAAUUACCUUGCAGAACAUGAAGACUUUACUGCUUUGGUAGAGGCAGGAUGGCAGGAACCUGUACAGGGGAACUACAUGAAGAGUGUUUGGGAAAAAUUGAAGAAUGUCAAGCAGGAACUUAAGAAGUUGCCUAAUACAUAAAUUAUUGAAAUUCAGAAAAAGUAUGUAACAUUAGGAAACAGCUAGUAGAGGUUCAAGAGCAAAUGAAAGACAUCAAUCAGCAUAGUAUUUUGGUAAAUCAGGAAAAGAAAUUAAGAGAGCAGCUGGAGAAAUGAGUGAAUACAGAGGAAAGUGCAGCUAAGCAAAAAUCAAGAAACCAAUGGUUACAAUUAGGAGACACGAACUCAGCUUAUUUCUUUGCCUCAGCAAAAAGUAGAAUGGCACAAAAUAAAAUUAGAAAUCUUGUAUCUAGCAAUGGAGAUAUGCUGCAGACAAAGGAUGAUAUCAGGAAAGAAAUAAUAGGCUUCUAUAAGCAAUUGCUAGGAUCAGCAGCAAAUCAUUUGCAUGCCAUAAAUCCUGAGAUAAUGAAGGAAGGUCAGAUCUUGAAUAGAGACAUGCAGCUGAUAUUGAUAGAACCCGUGACCAGGCAAGAGAUAAUGGAAGCAUUGAGGGACAUUGAUGACCAGAAAGCACCGGGGUGCGAUGGUUUUAACUGCCUAUUUUGCAAGAAGGCUUGGAAUACAAUAGGAGAGGAGAUAACUGAAGCAAUAUUACACUUUUUCUCAACAAAUGACAUGCACAAGCCUAUAAACUGCACCUACCAUCAAACUGCACCUCAGUCACCUUGAUUCCAAAAGUCAAGAGCCCAUCUACCAUCAAACAAUUUAGACCCAUCUCCUAUUGUACAGUUUUGUACAAAAUCAUAUCCAAAGUGCUCACAAAAAGACUUCAAAGUGUCAUAGAUCAUCUCAUUGACAAAAGUCAAUCUGCUUUCGUCCCUGGGAGGGUUAUCUAUGACAAUAUCAUUCUUAGCCAUGAGCUAAUUAAGGGAUAUGAUAGAAAGAGUGUCUCACCUAGAUGCAUGUUGAAUAUAGAUAUGCAAAAAGCAUAUGACUCGGUGGAGUGGACUUUCUUAGAACAAGUACUAAACUUCCUUGCCAAAUAUGUCGACUGGAUUAUGAUUUGUAUGACCAAUGUCUCUUAUUCCAUUCUGAUCAACAGGAUUCCAAGUCCCCCUUUUCCUGCAAAGAAAGGCCCGAGACAGGGUGAUCCAUUAUCCCCUUUCCUCUUUGUUUUGACGAUGGAGUACCUUAAUAGACAUUUGAGGACUCUGAGGCAUAAUCCUGAUUUCAACUAUCACCCUAAAUGUUCAAAACUUCAAAUAAUUCAGCUAGGUUUUGCAGAUGACCUACUGUUAUUUUGUAGAGGGGAUGUGAUUUCUGUACAACUAUUAUUCGGGUGUUUCUCUGAAUUCUCUAUGUGUUCUGGGUUGAUUGCAAAUAUUGAAAAGAGCUCUAUAUUUUUUGGUGGCAUUGGAAGGGAGGAGCAGAAUGAAAUCAUGAAUAUUUUGGGAUACUCUAAAGGGGAGUUGCCCAUCAAGUACCUUGAGGUACCACUGAGUUCAAAGAGACUGUCAGUUACUCAAUGUUACCCUCUGGUGGACAAGAUGAUUGGAAGAAUAACUUCAUGGACCGCAAAAUACCUUUCUUAUGCAGGCAAGCUACAAUUAAUUAAGAAUGUGUUAUUCUGUAUUCAAGCCUUCUGGUCUCAUGUUUUUAUACUCCCUAAGAAGAUAGUACACAUGAUAGAGACAGCAUGUAGAAGUUUCUUAUGGGCAGGGCAAGCAGAGGUCACAAAGAAAGCACCUUUAGCCUGGGAGAAAGUAUGUUGCUCAAAAACUGCAGGAGGAUUCAAUGUCAUUCAUAUAGAAACAUGGAACAAAGCUGCAGUGAGUAAAUUGCUGUGGAAUCUGUGCACAAAAAGGACAAAUUAUGGGUAAAGUGGAUCCAUAUUUACUAUGGGAAAGGAAGGAAUAUUUGGGAGAUUGAGGCAAAACAGGCAUCUUGGAUCCUGUCGAUCCUAAGGCAAAGAAGUACAUUAUUGAGGCUGGAUUGGAGCUGAACGACAUACAAGAAAUGAAUUACUUCCCUAUCAAAUUGAUGUAUCAGAAGCUGAGAGGUGUGCAACCUAAAGUUCCAUGGAAGAAAUUGGUAUGUAACAAUUAUGCCACUCCUAGAUGGGUUUUCAUAUUAAAUCUAGCAAUUCAAGGCAGAUUAACUACUAAGGAGAGAUUAUUACGAUGGGGAAUGCAAGUUAAGAAGGAAUGUGUAUUAUGUGGUUGGGCAGAUGAGACGACUAGUCACCUGUUUUUUGAACGCAUUUUUUCAAAAGAAAUCCGGCAAAGGCUGCUGAACUGGCAAGGUAUUAAUAAACAUGUGAAGAUAUGGGAAGAUGAGAUUCACUGGGAAACUACAGAAAUGAAGGGUAAGAACUCAAUUGAUGAAAUCUUUAGAAUGACAAUAGCUGGUGCGGUGUAUUACAUUUGGCAAGAGAGGAACCUAAGGCUAUUCCAAAACAAGCAGCGGAAUGUGAUAUCUAUCCUCAAGGAGGUGGUGCAGGAUCUGUUUGUGAGAGGAGGCAAGAAAUACAAGCUAGCCAGUAGACUCAGACUUAAAUUUCUAUCCAUAGUGAGCAG
rnacentral:lncRNA from 1 species